CUAGGAGUUGAGGAGGAUUCUGGGAAAUGUAGUAAAAAGAAAUCUUGUGAUACAGGCAGGAAGUGACAUAGCAGGCAGACUCAGAAUAUAAGCAGGAAAUCACUCUCUUUCUCCUCCUCUUCCUCCUGCUCUCUUCUCUACGGAGCUGCCAUGUGAUCCCGGGAAGAGGAUGCCAGUGGAAGGCAUCCUCAAUAAGAUAAGUCUUACAAAAUAUGCAGAUUUAUGAUAAUUAAGACUGAGUUAGAAUAUUAAGAAAUCCUAAUCAAUUGGCCAGUAGCAUUAUAAACUAAUAUAAGACUCUGUGUGUUAUUCUGGGCGCCCACGUGGUGGCAGGGCUCCAUUGGAUGGAGUAAAGACUUAUCGUUACAUUUUAGUCCAUUCUAGAGAUGACUACCACCAAGCAGGAAGAAAAUCCUAAGAAACUGAAUCCACCACAAGUGGACAUCAAAGCGAUACUUAUCUGUAUUCUUGCUAGUGAUCUUCGGGACCUUGUCAGUCCUUUUUACUAUAUUUUCCUGCUCAAGGGAAGAAAGUAAGAUGGAAGGAGAGAGGAGAAAGAAGCAGCUGUCUAAGAGAAUGGGUGCUCAGUGGGAGACUUGAUGAUGGUGAUGACAUGUUCAAGUACAGACAGCAGCUGUCACUUGCAGAGCUCUGCCCUGAUCAGCAUCCAUGGAAAGAGCACUGCAUGUAUUUCUCCGUUCUGCACCCAGUUCUAAGAGCUUUGGGAAGAUGAAACUAUUUGGGAGUGGAAGAUGUAAAGUUUGGAGACUCAUAACGGCAUCGAAGAGAACAAAGAAGGUGCUGAUGGGAUCCACUUGUCAGGUCUGCAUAAAUAGCAACUCGUACCUAAGCUGCUGCACCCGCCUCCUCAGCGCACGUCAAAGAGCAUCAGAGCAGCGAAACUUCCCCUCAGUUAAAGCUUAGGUCUCACCUACCUUGCUAUUUUGCAAGGGGGAUAGACAGCCACCAACUCACAUAUUGCCAGCGUCGCUGAGAGUAGUCAGAGGCACUUCAUUGGAGAGUCGGUGGUGGACAUUCAAGGUGGAGCUGAGGACAGCAGUGUGGCAGAUAGGGUUGUAGGCACGGGAAUUCUGACUGAAAUACUUGGGCAAUUCUCGUGUAGCUAUUGCUCUAAGCUGUCUUUCCUAAGAUCCAUCUUAUUUCAUGCAACUUCUUUUCCAAUGCAAGAGUUGAGGUGUAGAAUCCAGACUCUUCAUCUCCACAAAUACAAGCCUUUACCACCCCUCCCCCGUGAUGCAAGGCCUCAUUACAUAGCUCAGGCUAUCCUUGGACUCAUGAUCCUCCUGCCUCUACUUCUGGAGUUUGAGAUUUUGGCAUGCUGAGUGAUUUCUGGGCUGUGACUUGGCUGGUCUCUCCUUACAGGGCAUGUGGGAGUGAGGCCUGCUUCUUUGGAUCUGAUGAAGACAGGGGUGACACAGGAACAGCUGUGGUGGACAAUCUCCCUCAUGUUCUUUCAGACAUGCUCUUCCACAGAAGGACAUGCUUUCCUGUGCUUGUGCAAGAAAGCUCUAGAAUGUUCUACCUCUUGUUACCUACAUUUACACCAGAUGUUUUUAGCUAGGAGAAGAGUAGUAAAGUACUCAGUUUGACUUAGCAGGUGCUGUGUAGGGGCUGGAGAGAUGGCUCAGUGGUUAAGAGCACUGGCGACUGAGUUGGGUUCCCAGCACCUCCCUAGUGGUUUGCAUCUGACAGUAACUCCAGUUUCAUGGCAUCUGGUGCCCUCUUCUGGCCUCUGCAGACACUAGGUAUGCACAUGGUUACACACGCAUACUUGUAAGCAAAAUACCCAUAACAUAAAAAUAGUAUUUUAAUAGGUAAUGUGUUGACUUACAUGCCUGAAGAUAAAUCAGGAAGUAGAAAUGAUAUUGUGUAAAGCUUGGUUUGUAGCCUUAGAACCAACAACAACAGCUAUUUAUGAUUAUAGCCAAUGACUUCUAUGUCUAACAUUGUUGGAAAACACCAUGUUUAACUCAUUUAGUUUUCAGGAAAAUGCUGUGAAGCAGAUAUUAUCACACUUCCUUCUUAUAGAUGGAAAAAAUAGAGGCAUAGGAAGACUGAGGAACAUGUGAAGUCAUACUGUUUGUAUAGAAAAGGAGCUGAGCUUCAAUGCCUGUUGUCUCAUUCCAGUGCAUAGACUGAACUAUGGCUUCGUAUAAUCUCUGCAUUAGAUGUAAGUGUAGUUGCUCAUUACCCUUGAGAAGUCAUGUGUCAGUGGGGAAAGGGAGAGAGAGUGGACAACCACCUAGCAAUGUGAGGCACGCAGUGCCAAAAUGAAGUAGUGCCAGGCUCACACAGCUAUGCAAGUCGACCUGACAGCUCCAUCCAUACAGUAAGCCAAAUUCAAAAUCGCUCUGGCCAAAUUCCUUCCAACCUCUCUGGAAACCUUGGUGGAAAGGAUUUCAGAAGUGUUCCCAGUUCUGGUUAAGUUACUUUAUAGAUGCUGCAUUGCUUGUAAUUAUAUGUGUCUUCCUCAAGGGAGGAAAAGCCAUUGCUAUUGGAAUUUUUCUUAUCUCUUCCUGUUGUGGUAGAAGACCGGGGCAUCCAUUGAAGGUCUUUUGUUAAACCCUACCCUAAAAUUCAUUCACCUACUCAGUUAAGUGGGGGUUUGGGACUUCAGCAGUGGAAUUUAGGAAGACCAAACGCAGCACAUCACACGAAUUUAGUUAGCAAGUUGUUCCAAGGUUCAUUCCUAUACAAGCUGGGGUGGUGGUGGUAGUGGUAGAGGGAGGUGUGGUGAGCAAUAGAUUCUCCCGGUGCCAUACACCUAAAGCAGGAGCCAGUUCCCAUGGAAAGAUGCCAGCCCUGUUGUCACAAUCAGCUUCCUUUCAGUCUUUUUUGUCUUUGAGAUCUGAGAGCCUGGGAUUUCUGUUUUCAGAAGAAAUGCCUUUCUAUCACCUCCUCAAAGACCCAGAUGAGCAGAUGUCUCCUGCUGCCGUGAGUGUGAUAAAGCAAAGCCUAUAAUGGAGAGGCUGGGCAGACUAGGCUUUCACUAUAAGCAAAUGCUCUCAGUUCUCAGAAGGGCUGAAAGAAGCCAAAUUGCAGAGUUCAUUUGGAGGAUUCAAAAGCUGGAGAUGAAACGUGUGUGUGUGUGUGUGUGUGUGUGUGUGUGUGUGUGUGUGUGUAUCUUCUUCCCAGCACAUACUAUUACUACUACAGGCAAAACAUAUGAAGACCAAUUAUCUUUUCAUUGAAAUCCCUUUCACUCUGGAAUAUGAAACACAAACCAAUUUUCAUAAUUUUCCUCAGGAACCAAUCACACUCUAGUCAUCACCUUGACACUUCCAUUCCUAUUAGUUCAGCCAUCAUUCCCAAUAACAUUGAGAGGCAGAAGCUAGAGCUGAGGCUCACUGAGGUAGCAUGGGGGGUGGGGCUCUCUAGAGAUGCUCUUCUAUGGAUUGACUGAGCCAAGAUUUGAGCCCAUCUACACAAGUCAAAUUCCAUGCACCAUGCCCUUGACCUUGAUGAUGCAUGACUUAAAGCAACCAUAUCAUAAGGCAUAGUGCUAGAGAGAUAGCUCAGUGUGUAAAGUGCCUGUUCUGCAAGCAUGAGGAUCUAAGUUCAAUUCCCAGCACCCAUGUAAGGAAAAACAAAAUAGGUGGCAUGGUGGGUAGUCAUAUUCCCAGCAUGGGUAUGUAACUUGCCAACCUAACUGACUCAGAAAAUUCCAGGUCCCAUUGAGAACUCCUGCCUUAAAAAGUAAGGCUUCUGAGGAAUGACAUCUGAGGUUGACUGCAGGCAUCCACAUGCAUGCACAUGCACACACACACACACACACACACACACACACACACACACACACACACACACACACGCAGGUGUGAUCUAUAGAAGUGAUAUGAACAAAUUAGAAAUUGAGACGCCAUAUUUUAUGAUGUAAAAUAUUUUCAAACCACCUCCCACGGAGGAGAAAGGAAGAUUUGAGACAUCAUGAUGGCAGUCAGGAAAAAGAGAUGUUAAAAUAGGGUCUCCAGGGGAUUGGUACAGUUAGUCUUGUUCCUUGGAGGAGACGCUCCAUUGUGACAUUCUCCUCCUCUCUGUUGUCUGUGACAUCACAUCCCCGCUGUGACAUUGAUGAUUCCUGAAGCCUUUUUAACGGUAUACCUGCUUCUCCACUGUGGUCACAUCCUCUCUCUUCAUUACCACUAAACAUCAUGUGACCUGGCACAUGACACUACCAAGAGCUCUCUGUGGGUGCUGUGGUGUCUGCCAGUCACUGGAGACAUGUGUGUGAGACCAGAAACCAGAUGCAUCUACAUACCACAUUCACUGUACUCUUCUUUAACCUGGCUCUUUCAUGCUGGGACAACUACUCCCACCUUUAAACCUAAACAUUUUUACAUUGCAAUUGUAGAUUUACUUGAAGUUGUGAAGAAUUUACAAACAGAUCUUGUGCAGUAUUUGCUCAGUUUCCAGCAUCCAUAGAAUUUGAUAAAGCUCUAAUACAUUGCACCCAUGGUAAUGGUUUAAUACAAGCUACCAACCUUUUGCAGGUUUUCCUCUGUUGUUGUUGUUGCUGUUGUUGUUGUGUGUGUGUGUGUGUGUGUGUGUGUGUGUGUGUGUGUGUGUGUGUGUGUGUGUUCACGUGCACGCACGCGCGUGCAUUUGUGAUGCAUUUAGGACACACACUAGCUUUAUUACAGGCGUGGUUCUGUGUAUCACCACCGCAGUGAAGAUUGGCCAUCUCUGUGAGGAGCCUAGGUCCCGACCCUUUAUAAGCAUAUCCACACACUUCCUGUCUCCCAUCUUAAUUUUUAGCAACUGCUCACUUGGUCUUUAUUUCUGUAUUUGCCAUUGCAGUUGGUAUUCUCCAGGGCACUAGAAAAGGGUGCUUGCGUGUGUUUCUCUAUAAUGUGAAUAUGAGUAUGAAAGGUGUCAAAGCAGCUGUGGGUUCACAGAAGACACCGACACAUGAUUCCCUUGAGUGAGUUUAUUGUAAAGAAAAGGCCUUGAGGGUUAAUGUGUCUGCUUCCCAAGGCUCUACCAGGACAGAGACGAUCUUAUUUCACUCCAGAGCUCCUUUUGCUUAGACUAGGCCUGGUAUUCUUAAAUUAAUGACUGGAUUUUCUACGGAUGAGUUAAAGAGCAAUGUUGAUGGGUUUGUGUGUAAAUUAUGGUAUCUCCUACAGAGGUGCCUAGGCUUGUAGAUUGGAGUCACAGAAUACGUGAAAUUUAAGAAGUGCUUCAAAUGUCUGGAAAAGAGUCUGACUUAAAGAAUUCAUCUACUAGAAUAUUCCAGCUCCCACUAGCUUUUCAUUCACUCACUCGGUAACUCUUUACCAAACACUCCUGUGGCUUUGGAACUGAUUCCUGGGGCUGAAGAGAUGGCUCAGCAAUGAAGAACACUUGCUGCUCUUCCAGACGUCCUGAACUCAGUUUCCGGUGCUCACACUGGGCAGCUCACAUCUGCCUGUAACUCCUGGAUCUGAUACCUUUUUCUGGCUUCCAGGGGCCCCUGUGUAUGUGCCAUACAAAUACGUAUGUAUGCAUAAAUAAAAAUCUACAAAACUUAAAUUGAUUUCA
rnacentral:lncRNA from 1 species